rnacentral:rRNA from 1 species
AAAUUGAAGAGUUUGAUCAUGGCUCAGAUUGAACGCUGGCGGCAGGCCUAACACAUGCAAGUCGAACGGUAGCACAGAGAGCUUGCUCUCGGGUGACGAGUGGCGGACGGGUGAGUAAUGUCUGGGAAACUGCCUGAUGGAGGGGGAUAACUACUGGAAACGGUAGCUAAUACCGCAUAACGUCGCAAGACCAAAGAGGGGGACCUUCGGGCCUCUUGCCAUCAGAUGUGCCCAGAUGGGAUUAGCUAGUAGGUGGGGUAACGGCUCACCUAGGCGACGAUCCCUAGCUGGUCUGAGAGGAUGACCAGCCACACUGGAACUGAGACACGGUCCAGACUCCUACGGGAGGCAGCAGUGGGGAAUAUUGCACAAUGGGCGCAAGCCUGAUGCAGCCAUGCCGCGUGUAUGAAGAAGGCCUUCGGGUUGUAAAGUACUUUCAGCGGGGAGGAAGGUGUUGUGGUUAAUAACCACAGCAAUUGACGUUACCCGCAGAAGAAGCACCGGCUAACUCCGUGCCAGCAGCCGCGGUAAUACGGAGGGUGCAAGCGUUAAUCGGAAUUACUGGGCGUAAAGCGCACGCAGGCGGUCUGUCAAGUCGGAUGUGAAAUCCCCGGGCUCAACCUGGGAACUGCAUUCGAAACUGGCAGGCUAGAGUCUUGUAGAGGGGGGUAGAAUUCCAGGUGUAGCGGUGAAAUGCGUAGAGAUCUGGAGGAAUACCGGUGGCGAAGGCGGCCCCCUGGACAAAGACUGACGCUCAGGUGCGAAAGCGUGGGGAGCAAACAGGAUUAGAUACCCUGGUAGUCCACGCCGUAAACGAUGUCGAUUUGGAGGUUGUGCCCUUGAGGUGUGGCUUCCGGAGCUAACGCGUUAAAUCGACCGCCUGGGGAGUACGGCCGCAAGGUUAAAACUCAAAUGAAUUGACGGGGGCCCGCACAAGCGGUGGAGCAUGUGGUUUAAUUCGAUGCAACGCGAAGAACCUUACCUGGUCUUGACAUCCACAGAACUUUCCAGAGAUGGAUUGGUGCCUUCGGGAACUGUGAGACAGGUGCUGCAUGGCUGUCGUCAGCUCGUGUUGUGAAAUGUUGGGUUAAGUCCCGCAACGAGCGCAACCCUUAUCCUUUGUUGCCAGCGGUUAGGCCGGGAACUCAAAGGAGACUGCCAGUGAUAAACUGGAGGAAGGUGGGGAUGACGUCAAGUCAUCAUGGCCCUUACGACCAGGGCUACACACGUGCUACAAUGGCGCAUACAAAGAGAAGCGACCUCGCGAGAGCAAGCGGACCUCAUAAAGUGCGUCGUAGUCCGGAUUGGAGUCUGCAACUCGACUCCAUGAAGUCGGAAUCGCUAGUAAUCGUAGAUCAGAAUGCUACGGUGAAUACGUUCCCGGGCCUUGUACACACCGCCCGUCACACCAUGGGAGUGGGUUGCAAAAGAAGUAGGUAGCUUAACCUUCGGGAGGGCGCUUACCACUUUGUGAUUCAUGACUGGGGUGAAGUCGUAACAAGGUAACCGUAGGGGAACCUGCGGUUGGAUCACCUCCUUA